GAUGAACGCUGGCGGCGUGCCUAAUACAUGCAAGUCGAGCGAACAGACGAGGAGCUUUCUCCUCUGACGUUAGCGGCGGACGGGUGAGUAACACGUGGAUAACCUACCUAUAAGACUGGGAUAACUUCGGGAAACCGGAGCUAAUACCGGAUAACAUGUUGAACCGCAUGGUUCAACAGUGAAAGACGGUCUUGCUGUCACUUAUAGAUGGAUCCGCGUCGCAUUAGCUAGUUGGUAAGGUAACGGCUUACCAAGGCAACGAUGCGUAGCCGACCUGAGAGGGUGAUCGGCCACACUGGAACUGAGACACGGUCCAGACUCCUACGGGAGGCAGCAGUAGGGAAUCUUCCGCAAUGGGCGAAAGCCUGACGGAGCAACGCCGCGUGAGUGAAGAAGGUCUUCGGAUCGUAAAACUCUGUUAUUAGGGAAGAACAAAUGUGUAAGUAACUAUGCACGUCUUGACGGUACCUAAUCAGAAAGCCACGGCUAACUACGUG
rnacentral:rRNA from 1 species